rnacentral:misc_RNA from 1 species
AUGCCGCGCCGACGCAGGGGCGUCGUCUUUCAACCCUAGGAACUGAGCGAGUAGUGACAGCCCCACCCGAGGGCGAGUGUUGUGAGUGACUGAAUAACCGCGGAAUUUCACCGAAGAGUGUCACAGCGAAACAACAGUAGGUCGCCCUUCAGGGCGUUCAUCGCCAUCGCCAUGUGGCCCCCUUGCCGGUGGCGACCGGGCGCCGUAAAACCAGGGCGCGUACGGACCCUCUUCUGACAUGGGGAAUGAAGAGAGCCAACAAGGGGGAGCCGCCGCCCCCGGACAACCGCAACAGGGUACCCCUUUUGGAAUGGGCGGCGGACCUCCUCAGCCCCGGUUCGGGGGCCCUACUCAACAGGCACCGGGCAUGCGGCAAGUGGCCCCAACAGGCCGACCGAUACUCCGGCCCGGUGGCCCGGGCCCACCCCAGCCGGUGAUGGGGGGUGCAUUUCCUGGCGGUGGCCCUAGGCAGCAGAGUCAACCAGUUCGCCCUGUUCAAGUGGGCGUUCAACCAUGGGCUGAACCUCCAGUACAACAACCAGCGAGGUUUCGCGGGUCUGUGCCGCAAACACCAGUUCCGCAAGCAAGGGCGCCCCAGCAAGUUACGCCCCUGCGACCCCUGACACAAGUACAACAACAACAGCAACAAUUACAACAGCAGCAGCAGGCCAAACAGCAACAACAACAACUGAUGAUGGACGAGAAUUUGGGUUUAGAUUUAAGCGAUUUGUCUGAAGCAGAAAAGGAAAAAAUCUUAUCUGUUAUGGCACGAGCUCAGGAUUUGGAUGAAGACUACGAGAGGCACAAACGAGCGAAAGACGAGACCGACAUUUGCCCGCAGUUGCUGUGUCCACUGUGUCAGUUGGUUGAUUUAGCCACCGAAACGAACAAAAUGUGCGGAGACUGCGGCAAGAACUUCUGCCAGAAGUGUGGAACCUUCGUCCCUGGGGAAGGAAGGAGGUCGGUGUGGGUGUGUAACACCUGCUCCAACCGGAGAAAACAGCAGAGUGCGGCCAUGGCAGCUGGGCACCAAGACACAACCACUUACACAAUGGCAGGUCAAAAGGUUGCUGGAGACCCGAACCGGAAGGACGAGACCAUGUCACGUGAGUACCUACAUCCAGGUUCAGUAGAUGAUGUAGUUUCCCUCCCUACAGAGACAGGUCCAAACGAGUACUAUCUCCUGAUGGAAGAUGACGACGAUGACUGGGGAAGGUCAGUCCUCUCGGGAGAGGACAGUUCUCCGGGAAUCGCGAAUGCAAACGACGACGGCUUCAGCGACCGGACAUCCAGCAUACGACUGAUGCUCGAAGAAGAGGAUGACGACGAGGAAGAUGCUUACGACAGCGACGAGGACAACAGGGGGGGAGGAGGUAGCUCCACCCUCCCCUAUUACGACCGCAGCCCGGGGGAGGUGUACACCAUCCCUGAGGAAGAGGAAGACUUGACCUCACCGAUGUCCCAUGGAACAUGGGACGGAGACCUCAACCCGGACACAGCUUCAUCUUUACUCCGUUGGAGAGGUAUGGGCCAGCCAUUCCAGCCUCAGCAGCAACAACAACCCAUGACAACAUUGACCACUGGUCAGCAAUCUGUAUCUCUUUUGGGCACAUCGUCAAGUGGUGGAGGAUUUGUGUCUGGUUCCUUAAUACCGAGCAGUGCAGUGAGUGGAGGCAUGGGGAGGGGUAGUGGGACCAUCCCUAGGACCGUGCCUCUUACGGCGCUGUCCCAGACGCUGCAGCAGCAACAGCAGCCUAUGUGGCCCAAUUCUCAGCCCCAGCAACAAGGACAGCCAUUGCAAUCGCAACCACAAAAUCAAUGGAAUUUACAACAAGCACAGGUACAACAGCAAGUGAAUCAAGUAGGACCACAACAACUGUCAAUGCAAAUGAAUUCUCAGAAAUCGAAGCCCAUGGAUUUGGUUCCAGGAAUGAUGAUGACAACCCAACAACAACAACAAAUGCAAAUACAACAGCAACAGCAACAACAGCAGCAGAAGCAACAACAGCAGCAGCAACAACUGAAGGGACAGAAGGGUCAAAAGGUGGGUGAGCAGCAGGACUGGUCCCCAGGGACUGAUCUGUCCCCCAUCAUGGAUGUCUCACCUUCACUUGAAGCUGCGGAGCAAGAACUAAUGGAGAAGUGCCAGGAGGCUGACCAGCUGAGGCCGAUACCACGAGCCACCUCCGGGACGAUAUCGGGCAUGUUGGCCGACUUCAACAAGGCGCUCGGUCUGGCUACCACGCCCACGCUAGACGACGGUCAGCAACGGAGUCUAGUGGCUACAACUACGACAACGGCUCCUCAACAGCAAAUGAGCGGCAUAGUUGGUAGUGGCGGAAUGGCCCCAACGUCAAUUAUACCAAAUGGCACGGAGAUGGACCAGAACCAGAAUCUCGUGCAACAGCAGUUCCAGCUUCAGCAGCAACAGCUCAUGAUACAACAACAACAGCAGGUGAUAGCACAGCAACAGCAACAACUACAACAGCAAGCGCAUCUUCAACAGCAGAUGCAACAACAACAACAGCAGCAACUACAAAGCCAUCAGCAGCUCCAAAGUCAGCAGCAACAGCAGCAGGUUUUGUUGCACGAUAUGCAACAGCAACAACAACAGCAACACGUUAUGCAACAGACAUCUCUCGUGCAGCACCAACCGGGAGUCGUCAUUGGUGGAGCUCCGAUGCAGCAGCAGCAGCAGUCCCAAUCCCAGCGGAAGGUUCACAGGCGUCUGCCUCAGCCUACUAUGGAACAGAUGCAUGCAGCGGUCGCCAUAGCAGCACAGACGCCCAAGAGCAAGUCCCAGGCCCCCCGUACCACCCCUAGCAUCGGAACUGCAACCCCUUCCUUCCAGAGACCCAUCUCACCCAUGAUGGCACCGGGAAGUGCGCGCAUCUCCUCCUCCCAAGCAUCCUCCAUCUACGAUACUUCAUCUUCUGGUGGUCUCCUAAGUGUCCAGCAACCAGGGAUGGUGGGCGGAAUCUCCCCCUCGGCACUCAACACCUCCAUCAGCCCCACACCACGAAAGGAUCAAGAGAGUAUGGAUAUGGAGGCCGGGAAGAAGAUACGACGUCGUCUGCCGCCCGUGCCUUUGGACCAAGAGCCUACCUCCGUCCCCCUACGUCGAACCAAGGAUCGAACUCGCACACUCUCGAUGGGUGCAAUGCCUCUUUCCACAUCCUCAGAGAGAUCAUGGGACAGGAGGAUACCGCAGAGGACAACAUCACUGGACGACGGAAUGUCCUUGACGAAAGCAUUAAACACGACAACGAGUUCGGACCUGGAUUUCUUAGGUUUAUCCUCUUCGACGGACACUUACCUUAAAUUUCUUACGUCUACAGAUUACGGUGGACUGCUUGGAUCUUCGCUUACUACUACAACCUCCUCUGUCUUAGCAUCAAUACCAUCCUCCAUUGGUCUAUCAACGACAACCAUGCUGGGUCGUCGGGACCUAAGCGCACCCCACAGCUUAUCUUCCUACUUGCGCAGCAGCGGAGUGGGAGUUGUGCCAUCUACCUCCGCCUCCUACCUUCUGGAUCACGCCACCACAGACACGGGCCCCAAGCUGCCCUCUUACCUGAUGUCAUUGAAGCAGCAACUGCGGGAGGAACUUAGAUCGGUCACUGACCAACGACGCCGUAUCACUGACCCUGACCUAUCUGGGCUACUCUCGCAAUCCUCAUGGCCAGAGACGUCUACAUACGACCCUAUUCGGAAGCUUGGCUCCACGACGUUGCCUUUGACGUCCGGCGGAGGUCGGUUAGGCGGCCCACAAGCCAGGCGCAACAGACACAGGAGACACGCCUCCGACACAAAACUAUCCAUGUUUUCCUCACUCGGCAGGGAUGACUUCAUGGAUGACCCCCUCUCCAGGUACAAAUUUUAUCAGCCCAGCAGUAGUAUGCCAUUCAAAUCGUUUGAGUUCGAAUCCAUCGACGACCACUUGAGGACGGACGGUCUCUAUAGUUCCUCUCCUUACACCAGAAGCUCAGCGCUCUUCCGGGGUUCUUCAACCUAUCCCAGGAGAUCCUCCCUCACGGACAUGACAGCAGACAGGAUACACCUCAGAGACACUUCCGUCAAUAGUUUAGGACUCUCGAAGACACGUGACUCGCCGGCCAUGAGAAAAUAUUCCAGAGACUUGGCCAGGCUACGUCGACACACCGACACGGGUUUAAUGUCUUUCGGCAUGGGUUUAGACCCCUAUGGCCGGACAACGGGUGGGUACAGCAUGGCGCAGCGCCACCACCACCUGAGGAAACCACGGUCAUGGCACCCGUCACCUUAUGUCUCAGAAGACGAAGACGAGAGGGAAGAGAAGAAAGCGAAGAUUAAAGCAGAAAUAGCGAGACGAAGGCAGCAUAUAGAAGAGAACGCCAGGUUACACGACGAGCUAUACAAAAUCGCCAGAGUUAGAGAUGCCACAGGCUAUGUGAGCCCAGCGUAUGGCGACCGCCUUUACACCAGCCCCAUUUCUUUGGAGAGUGGAGGGUCGUCGCAGGAGUCGACCCGGGACCAGGACGCUUUGCAGGCCAUGGACGUCUACCGCAGCCACCCUUACUCCUCCUCCUCCGCCUACGUAUCGCCACAUCAUUCGAGGUCACUUUCCUCAAGAUAUGAUGGGGUUAGUCGUUCUCAUAGCCAGCCCUGGCAGUACGAAUACGGAUAUUUGGAGGAUGACCCCUUAGAUCCCCUUAAUGACCCAUUCUACGAUUACUCACCCCCGGUGACAGACUCCGAGGCGGAUCUAGCGCCCAUGCCUCUGCUACCAGAUAUGCCUACCCGGUCUCGGAAACUUCUGCAAGACCUAGGCAGCACACCACUGCACCAUCAGCCUUACAGUGAUCCACCCUCCAAACAGCACUACUCCAGAUCAGGUGGAGUUCCUUACGACGACGACUACGUUGACAGUCGAGAGCCUUUGGAUGACGUGCGACGUCAUGCACCACAUUCACAGUCAUCAGGAGAUCGUCACCAGUCCACCUACCUGCGGAAAGCUCAAAACUCGAAAACCAGUCAAAAGUACGACUUUCCUGUAAAAAGAAUUUUGCUCACUCGAGAUCCUAAAGACCGUUCCGUAAGUGGUAAUGGCUUGGGAAUGAAAGUGGUUGGUGGGAAGGAGAUCCCAGGGAGCAAUGGAAUGAUUGGAGCAUACGUCGCCCGGAUAUAUCCGGGAGGUGUCGUCGAAACGCUGGGAGAAGUCAGGGAAGGAGAUCAAGUGUUGGAGUGGAAUUGUGUUCCUUUGACGGGGAAGACCUACGAAGAAGUUCAGAGAAUAAUCGCCUCCUCAGGAGACGAAGUGGAAAUUGUCAUUCGCAGCGACUUCAACAUGUUGAGUUCUCGAUCAUCCUCUCAUCAUCAUCAUCACCAUCAUCAGCAACCGCAGAAUCAAUCUCGGUUGUCUCGGAGUAGCGGUCACUCCGAUCAGCAGAGCGGUCACUCACGGUCCAACAACCAGUCCUAUCACCAGUCAGGCAGCUACAGGACGUCAAGGGGCGACACGGACGGCUACAACAGAAACUACGACAGCGCUGACUACCACCUCCAUUCCAUGGCGGAUGAAGGAGUUCAUAACUCAAACUACCUGGAGUCUGAAAGGAGUGGCUCGGCGUCCCCUUCUAGAGGUUACCGACAGUCUUCAAAUCGACAACAAAGGAUUGGCUCACCCACGGGAAAAGGAGAUACCACAGAGAACAAGGAGAAAUACCGAGCAGAAAACAUUUCUGGCGAAAUACAGCUCCAAGUGUGUCAUGAUUCUAAGGCGAAGAUCCUGUAUGUUACGAUCGUUCGAGCGAGGAAUUUAGUGACUUCCAGAGAUAACAGCGGGCUUCCAGAUCCUUACGUUAAGUGUUAUCUUUUACCUGAAAGAUGCUUCGAGAAUCAACGGCGCACUCGUUACUUUUCACGAUGCAGCAAUCCGGAAUGGAAGCAGACAAUGGUCUAUCCGGAGGUUUCUCUGGAACAACUGAAGAAGAAACAUCUAGAGAUAUCAGUCUGGAACUACGACAUCAACAGACCUCCAGAAUUUCUCGGAGAGGUCAUCAUCGAUCUCAAAGAUUCUUCUGUGAUCGAUGAGCAGUCCAGGUGGUAUAAACUUCACCCUCAUGAUCCGAAAAAGUAUCCGUGUCUUUCGUCCUCCCUCAACAACGAAGGAUCCAUGAAAAUGGCCAGACUCAAUAAUCCCGCUCAAAAGACCCUCUACUUCGAGAAUGGAGGAGAUGACAUCAGAAAGAGCAACAACUUGGAGAAGAGAUUUUUCAAACAGUUGACGAAGAAGUCCAAUAUCAACGAGAACUACGCUAGGGUGAGCAGUCAAAGUUGGCGACUUCCAGCACUUCACACGGGCAACAUUACCGCUCAUCCUCUACUUCCACAGGGCUGUCAUGGCGCUGUUUGUUCCAUCCUAUGACUGCCAAGCAAAGCGUUGCAUCGCCAGUUAUCCAAGUCGAAUUCCUACGCAGCGCUCGCAGCCCUGUGUUAGCCAUAAGUGCUUAAUUGAAGACUGCACUCACCUAGAGGAGAAUUAAGAACUUAUUUUCCAAUACAAACUGUUGGACUUUUCUUCUGAAAAAAAAAAGAAGUUGUUGCUGCUUCCAAACUAAACAAAACGAGGAUGUUUGCUCCUUCAUUAAUCUUCAACGUUUUAUAACAUUUUUUCGAAUAAAUUAGUGGUCGAUUCCGGUGGUCUCAUGGACAUCGAAAAACAAGAAAAAACUAUCAGUCUCAAAAUACCUGAUCAGAACAGUUCUUUUUUGGCUGCUUAAUUAUUGAUUUUGAACAUUUUUUACACGCGCUGCGAUAUUAAAUAUUUUUUCACCUAUUUAUGAAAUAAAUUAUUUUUACAUCAAUUUAUGAAAUCGAUUAUUUUUACAUACACUUAUGAAUUGGAACAUUUUGACGUCCUUAAAAUAGUUUUUGCAUACCCUUAUAGAACAUUUUUGCUUGCAUUUAUGCUUCAGAAAAUAAAACUUUAUUCUUUAAGUACUCGUAAGCAUUAUUACUAUAUAGUAUCAAAUUAAAUAUAGUAUUCUCUAUUACUCUCUUAUUGAUUCAUAUCUCUGUUGAUCUUAAUUUAUGCCUAUAGUGUAUUCGCAAAGCGAACACAUCCAAUUAUUGAAGUAUUAUUCGAGAAUGCUUUUAGAGAAUUAUAAGAUUUAUUGGAAUUAUAAAAAUUCAAUGAAUUAUCAACCCAAUCUAAAAACCUUUAACUGAAUUAUCAAUAUAUACUAUUUUUUAACAUUUUAAUUUCUCUUAUAAAUUUUUUAAAAAAAUCUACUUUUUUAAAAGCAAUGAC